UACGAAGGGGGCUAGCGUUGCUCGGAAUUACUGGGCGUAAAGGGCGCGUAGGCGGCCCUGUCAGUCAGGCGUGAAAUUCCUGGGCUCAACCUGGGGACUGCGCUUGAUACGGCGGGGCUGGAGGCCGAGAGAGGGUGGUGGAAUUCCCAGUGUAGAGGUGAAAUUCGUAGAUAUUGGGAAGAACACCGGUGGCGAAGGCGGCCACCUGGCUCGGUGCUGACGCUGAGGCGCGACAGCGUGGGGAGCAAACAGG
rnacentral:rRNA from 1 species